rnacentral:lncRNA from 1 species
UCACUUUUCUUUCCUGGGAGCUAGACAUGCCCUCUUUCUAGAUAAAUAGAUACAGGGCACAGUUGAAGCCCACCAUUGUGUGUGGAACUUGGUUUUUUCAGUGUCACCUUGUGGUCUUGUUGACAAGGUGUGUGGACAGUGAUACAGAAGCAGUCCCCUAGAAUGCCCGUAUUUCAGAGAAGUACAAUUGGGCUUAGCCCCUGGGUGUCUCGUAGUGUCUCAGAGGAGCUGACCUGGGUCUGUGCUGGUGCAACAGGAAGCGGCAGUCACGUCGCUGUGGAAGAGUAUGAAGGCACAGAGCAUGUGUGAAAUAUGUCCCUUUAGCACACACCUCGGCUAGGAUCUCCUCAAUAGGUUUUGUGAUCUUAAGGACAGCUGAUGGGAGACACCAAGAGUGUGGGAGAAAGAAGCCUUGGGAAACAGCCCUGACCCGGUGCUGCUUCUAUGGGCAAGAAUAGGUCAAGCUACCUGCUCUUUCUGAGGAAUGGGCCUCUCUCUUCACUAGAUAGGGCUGUCUGCUUGUCAGAGCUUGUAAGACUCAACCUUCUGGAAAGAAAAGGGAACUUUCCACAGUGAAUGUUAACGUGUGUGUGCAUGCGCACUUGCUCAAGCCUGUGUGUGUGCAUGCGCGUGUUUACUUGGUGGAAUUUUAUUUUUGUAAAAUUCCUUUCCGGUUAUUUAGUAGAAUUCACCUACACCUCCCUGCCUAACGUUGGUUCCACCAUUAUAACCCUAGGCAUAGUGAAUUUGGAACUCCUUUGAGGUUCCUGAACAGGAUCUAGCAUUCUUGAAAGCCGAGAUUGUGGAAGGGUGGGAGACACUGAUUAUGUAUCUGUUUCCUAGUUUACAUCCUGCAGGUUAAAAGGUCUCAUGGCCUCAGCUAGGCUCUGUCCCUCAUGGGGGAGUCCAGUACCACUCCCCUAGGCACCUUGUCACCUGAAUCUUCACCCCGUGAAGGGAAAGCAGGCUUAUUAGCUUGCUCUGUAGCACCCAGCAUGUUCUCCUUCAAGCUCUUCAAGUUUCGGCUUCUGUGCACAGGCUAAGUGUGUGUUGUGUGUUUUGGUGAUGGUACAGGGCUCCUUGAGGAGGCAGCUACACCUGGGGUAGGGUGGGUUUCAUUUAUACCAGAGAUCCCUGGGGCUGCUCACCUGAGCCUGGUCCUCUUGAAGCCUGCUAUUGACAAGCACGUUUCCACCAGCUGUACCCAACACUACAAUGCAUUUUUAAAACUAUAUUUGCAUCUAAGACAAUAAAAUCUUAUUUUUUUUGGAAA